CCCAAACCCCUGUGAACAUACCACUUGUUGCCUCGGCGGAUCAGCCCGCUCCCGGUAAAACGGGACGGCCCGCCAGAGGACCCCUAAACUCUGUUUCUAUAUGUAACUUCUGAGUAAAACCAUAAAUAAAUCAAAACUUUCAACAACGGAUCUCUUGGUUCUGGCAUCGAUGAAGAACGCAGCAAAAUGCGAUAAGUAAUGUGAAUUGCAGAAUUCAGUGAAUCAUCGAAUCUUUGAACGCACAUUGCGCCCGCCAGUAUUCUGGCGGGCAUGCCUGUUCGAGCGUCAUUUCAACCCUCAAGCACAGCUUGGUGUUGGGACUCGCGUUAAUUCGCGUUCCUCAAAUUGAUUGGCGGUCACGUCGAGCUUCCAUAGCGUAGUAGUAAAACCCUCGUUACUGGUAAUCGUCGCGGCCACGCCGUUAAACCCCAACUUCUGAAUGUUGACCUCGGAUCAGGUAGGAAUACCCGCUGAACUUAAGCAUAUCAAUA
rnacentral:rRNA from 1 species